rnacentral:misc_RNA from 1 species
GUGAGGUUCCGACCAGUGCUUUUGCUCCUUUUUUUGUGUGUGCCUUGACGACGAGUAAGGCAACGCCGAGAUUCUCAUUUCGCCUCGUUGACCUCUCUCUCUUUCCCUGAUGUGCAAAUCUGGCAACUAAGCACCCCCGCCUCUCCCUUACACCACAUCGACACACACACACACACACAUACGCACACAAAAGAAAAACAAACCGAAACCAAGCGGGAAAAAAGAGGCAAGAGACAGGGGUCAUUCUUUACAUCAGCUCUCUGCUCACCCUCUUUUUUUGUUCCUAGCGCAGAGAACUCGCUUCUCCGGCCCCCUUUUUGUUUCGCCUGGCACAUCGCCCUUUCCGUUUUAGCGCAACCUCAUUAGAUUCAAAGUCUACUCCGAAAGGAUCCCAUCGCUUCCGCGCGUUUUGGCUUUGUAAAGUCUCCUUCUCGCUGUAUUGCUCUUCAUACGUGUACCCUCUUUUCCGUCUGCGUCUGGUUUGACGCUUCAUCACGCGCGUCCACCACACGGGUCGACGACACAAGUUUGUAUCUCCACCUUCGUCUCCCGACUUUCUCUUCUUUCGAGGCUACUCGGUGCUCUCUCAUAAAGAGAAUUCGGAGUUUUCUUUUUUUUUUCUAGCUUACGCCUUGCCUUUUUUUUGUUCAAGGAUACGAAAUUGAGCAGUCGGAGAGUUCCCCUACGUUUCCUUUGCUCCGUCUCCGGCUGCUUUCGAGACCCUUCCUUUUUAUUUGAAAAAAAAUUUUUGGUCUCCUCCCUCCCGGCCUAUUAGCGUUGACGUGUGCCUUGAGCCUACACACCCCGCUCUCUUUUUUUUUAUUCUAAAUUGAUCGAUCUACUUGUGUACGCACCUCCUCCUUCCCUCUUCGUUCUCUCCGCGAUUACACCACCUAGAUUUCCUUUUUUGUGUACUAACAAAUCCUUUUCGUGUCAAACGUUUGUCUGUUUCACUCUAGAUCCCUGUCUUUUGGCUGUCGCCUUUCUUUUUUUACACCCCUCGUCCUUUUUCAGAUACCAGCACGAGAUACCGAGACACUUUUUCCGCCUCGUUGUGUGUGUGUGUGUGCUUUUGCUCUUCGCCACUUUUCGUUUCAUCCGCACCACUCUCUCCCGAGACCAAAGGCCGCUCGCUUCCCUCCUCACCCUCGGAAAGUGAGAAGACCAACAACAAACCGAAGAAACGCGAAAAGACUGAACAAUUCGUGGCUGCCCUUUUUUACCAAUUUGCCUUUCCUCGCCGUUUACUGUUGAGCGCUGUGCCUCUGCUCCGUCUUUCUCUCUCUGCGUGUGCGUGUGGGUGUACGCCCCGUUUUGAUAUUUUUUUUUCGUUUCUUCGGUUUCGUCACCAUUCGCCUUUUUUUGUCUGUUUCCUUUCCCACCCUUGUACUCUGUCUGCCUCCCCCCCUUCUUUGUAUCUCUCACCAGUAAGUUGGCUGCGCAUAUACACACACACACAUUCAUGGUGUGUGUGUUUCUCUCUCUCUCUGUGUCCGAAGAUUUUUUUCCAUUUUUUUUGAUUUCUUUCAAAGUGAGCUGGCCAAGGAGGGCAAGGAAAACCAAGAGAGUCCCAGCGUAAACACACACGCGCACACACGCACGCACACUCGCUUCGUUUCCUUUUUUUUUCCUUGUUCUUCAGUGUCUGCCUUUUUUUUUGGUGUGUGUUGCUCGCUCGCUCUCGGGUGUCGAAGACUUGCCUCAUUCCUGAUUGGUACACAUUUACACGUGCGUAUUGUCGCUGGUCCUCCCCUUCCCUUACCUCCCUCCGAAGUACACAGUAAAACGCACCGUGCUUCUCCCUUUUCUUUGCUGUCUUCCUUUUCGUGCUCUUCGCAGCCGUGCGCCUAGUGUUUGCCGUUCCAAAAGUCGCUCAGCACAAAGAAGCAUCGAGGAUACCGAGCCUGACAGGUCUUACAGUCAAAGGCCUUCUUCCUUUAGUCGUCCCCCCUUUCUCAAUCAAGACAUCUUCCCCACACUCCUUCGUCAGCACUACUGCUAAGAAGGGCCGUGGUUUGCGCAACGAGACACUCGCCCACAAGGAGCCCGCCGGCCGGAAACCCCAAACUACAGUUUCAUCUGCCCCCACGACUUCCCUUAAUCGCAUAUAUACACUCAGCUUCACACAGCUGGCGCUGGGAAGAGUCGCGAACGGUUAAUAUGGGGUCCAUCUCUCCUGCACGGCCGUCGAUAGAACCCUCGCUGCGGGUUCGCGAGCCGUCUGCCGCCAACACUCGCUACGAGAAGACAUCCGUGCCCAGCGGCUACUGCAGCCCAGGACUUGCCGUGGAGGAAGCGGCCUCACUAGAGCCAGCAGGAUGCAUUUUCGCGACCACUGUUGCUGAGGAAUUCGUGCGCGCAGACGCCAUGACAGUAUCGAUGGCCACAACCCCUCUGGCGAGCGUGCAAUGCACACCGCGGCUGCCAAGAGGCAAAGAAAAUGCAGCCAAGUCUACCGAGUCCAUCCUGGGCCACUGCAAACCAGCGCGAUCACCACGUCCGUCGCAGGUGACGGAGCUCCGCUUGACUACAAAUGAAGUUGGCGUGCUGACCACACCGCACGUGGGCCAUGGCCUUCAGACACGCGCUGCUUCUGCUGCUUGCGGCACUCGUCGCAGUUUCACUGACAAAACCGACGGCUCUCUGACUAAAAUGGCGCUCUCCACUGUUCUCCGCCCGCGGGGAAACAGCUUAUGCGAGCCGGACAGUCUCGACCUCUUGUCUGCAGUGGGGCAAUCCGAUGUCGGCAUGGACGACUUCGCCCCCACUGCCGCCUCCUUUCAGCUCACAUGCGAGGGGACUAAGUGGUGUGCUGUGGUCGCCGCGCACAUAGAAGCCGUGCACCGGCUCGCAACAAUCGAUAUCACAUCGUCAUGUGGGGUCGCCACAGGCGAGCUUUCUAAACUGACAAUGAUAGCCACCGAGAAAGCCGGGCUUCAAAUUUGCUUCCAGCUUGCUACGUGGGGUGAUGCACAGCGCGAAAUCACCUUUCGUCGUCGGCUGGAGAUGUGUGAGUUACAGCGUCUUACAAGACUCUACCAGACAUUUGUCGCCACGCCGAUGUCGCCUCCACCAGCGGAUGGAGAGAACAAACAAUGGCCUCCACGCUCUCUGGAGGAUGAUUCUCACCUUCCUGAAGGAGUCGUCGCUUCCAACACCAACAAUCACCGCAGGAUCAGCGAAGAUCGCCGGCAACUCGUUUCAGAGUUCGAGACAACAUUGGAAGAUAUGCAAUCUAUGCUGCUCCAGAAGGAACAGGAGCUUCAGCACCUGGCCUCCCAGCUCGAGGAGGAGCGUCGUUGCAGUGGGCAGAAUGUAGCGGACUUGCAGAGCCAACUAAUCACAAUGCGCCUGGAUCAUGCGUGCAUGGAUAAAGAGCUCGAGAGCAUCUCUACAGCUCUCAUCGACACGCAAGAGUCCUGCAACGUACUGCGACAGCUCGUCACCGAAAGUGAGGAACAACACCGGUUUCACACACAGCAGGCACAACAAGAAUACACAGCACUCCAAAAGGAACAAGCGCACCUCAUCGACCACUACGAAGCUCAGAUUACCUCGUUAAACGAGCAGCUACGAGAGGCUCACAAAACACUUGAUGCGCUUCACAACGCAGACAUCACCGACACCCCCUGCGCUCUCGUGCGAGCAGACACACAAAACUUGAACACUCCCUUCACUGCACACCCUGAGCAGAAUAACAAGCACAACGCGCUUAGCCUCUACACGCACGGCAUCGUGGAUGCGGUGCGCAGCGAGUACGAGGCGCAGACUACUGAGCUUGUGGACUCCGCGGAGCUUGUGGAGGCGCGCGACGCGCUGGGGGCGGCGGAGCAGCGCUGCGCCGCGCUGGCCGCUGCCCACGCGGAGGCUGUUGCUGCGCUGGAGGCGAAGAGCGCUGCGUCGGAGAGCGAGCUGGCCGCUGCGCGCGACGCGAUGCGUGCUGCCGAGGAGCGGCUGGCGGACGCGGACGCCGAGCAUGCCCGCGUGGUUGCUGCGCUGGAGGCGAAGAGCGCUGCGUCGGAGAGCGAGCUGGCCGCUGCGCGCGACGCGAUGCGUGCUGCUGAGGAGCGGCUGGCGGACGCGGACGCCGAGCAUGCCCGCGUGGUUGCUGCGCUGGAGGCGAAGGCGUGUGCUGCCGAGCGUGAGGCCGCUGCUGCUCGCGCAAAGCAGGAGGCGGUUGUGAGGUGCACGCGCGGCAUCGUGGAUGCGGUGCGCAGCGAGUACGAGGCGCAGACUGCUGAGCUUGUGGACUCCGCGGAGCUUGUGGAGGCGCGCGACGCGCUGGGGGCGGCGGAGCAGCGCUGCGCCGCGCUGGCCGCUGCCCACGCGGAGGCUGUUGCUGCGCUGGAGGCGAAGAGCGCUGCGUCGGAGAGCGAGCUGGCCGCUGCGCGCGACGCGAUGCGUGCUGCCGAGGAGCGGCUGGCGGACGCGGACGCCGAGCAUGCCCGCGUGGUUGCUGCGCUGGAGGCGAAGAGCGCUGCGUCGGAGAGCGAGCUGGCCGCUGCGCGCGACGCGAUGCGUGCUGCUGAGGAGCGGCUGGCGGACGCGGACGCCGAGCAUGCCCGCGUGGUUGCUGCGCUGGAGGCGAAGGCGUGUGCUGCCGAGCGUGAGGCCGCUGCUGCUCGCGCAAAGCAGGAGGCGGUUGUGAGGUGCACGCGCGGCAUCGUGGAUGCGGUGCGCAGCGAGUACGAGGCGCAGACUGCUGAGCUUGUGGACUCCGCGGAGCUUGUGGAGGCGCGCGACGCGCUGGGGGCGGCGGAGCAGCGCUGCGCCGCGCUGGCCGCUGCCCACGCGGAGGCUGUUGCUGCGCUGGAGGCGAAGAGCGCUGCGUCGGAGAGCGAGCUGGCCGCUGCGCGCGACGCGAUGCGUGCUGCCGAGGAGCGGCUGGCGGACGCGGACGCCGAGCAUGCCCGCGUGGUUGCUGCGCUGGAGGCGAAGGCGUGUGCUGCCGAGCGUGAGGCCGCUGCUGCUCGCGCAAAGCAGGAGGCGGUUGUGAGGUGCACGCGCGGCAUCGUGGAUGCGGUGCGCAGCGAGUACGAGGCGCAGACUGCUGAGCUUGUGGACUCCGCGGAGCUUGUGGAGGCGCGCGACGCGCUGGGGGCGGCGGAGCAGCGCUGCGCCGCGCUGGCCGCUGCCCACGCGGAGGCUGUUGCUGCGCUGGAGGCGAAGAGCGCUGCGUCGGAGAGCGAGCUGGCCGCUGCGCGCGACGCGAUGCGUGCUGCCGAGGAGCGGCUGGCGGACGCGGACGCCGAGCAUGCCCGCGUGGUUGCUGCGCUGGAGGCGAAGAGCGCUGCGUCGGAGAGCGAGCUGGCCGCUGCGCGCGACGCGAUGCGUGCUGCUGAGGAGCGGCUGGCGGACGCGGACGCCGAGCAUGCCCGCGUGGUUGCUGCGCUGGAGGCGAAGAGCGCUGCGUCGGAGAGCGAGCUGGCCGCUGCGCGCGACGCGAUGCGUGCUGCCGAGGAGCGGCUGGCGGACGCGGACGCCGAGCAUGCCCGCGUGGUUGCUGCGCUGGAGGCGAAGGCGUGUGCUGCCGAGCGUGAGGCCGCUGCUGCUCGCGCAAAGCAGGAGGCGGUUGUGAGGUGCACGCGCGGCAUCGUGGAUGCGGUGCGCAGCGAGUACGAGGCGCAGACUGCUGAGCUUGUGGACUCCGCGGAGCUUGUGGAGGCGCGCGACGCGCUGAGGGCGGCGGAGCAGCGCUGCGCCGCGCUGGCCGCUGCCCACGCGGAGGCUGUUGCUGCGCUGGAGGCGAAGAGCGCUGCGUCGGAGAGCGAGCUGGCCGCUGCGCGCGACGCGAUGCGUGCUGCCGAGGAGCGGCUGGCGGACGCGGACGCCGAGCAUGCCCGCGUGGUUGCUGCGCUGGAGGCGAAGAGCGCUGCGUCGGAGAGCGAGCUGGCCGCUGCGCGCGACGCGAUGCGUGCUGCUGAGGAGCGGCUGGCGGACGCGGACGCCGAGCAUGCCCGCGUGGUUGCUGCGCUGGAGGCGAAGAGCGCUGCGUCGGAGAGCGAGCUGGCCGCUGCGCGCAACGCGAUGCGUGCUGCCGAGGAGCGGCUGGCGGACGCGGACGCCGAGCAUGCCCGCGUGGUUGCUGCGCUGGAGGCGAAGGCGUGUGCUGCCGAGCGUGAGGCCGCUGCUGCUCGCGCAAAGCAGGAGGCGGUUGUGAGGUGCACGCGCGGCAUCGUGGAUGCGGUGCGCAGCGAGUACGAGGCGCAGACUGCUGAGCUUGUGGACUCCGCGGAGCUUGUGGAGGCGCGCGACGCGCUGGGGGCGGCGGAGCAGCGCUGCGCCGCGCUGGCCGCUGCCCACGCGGAGGCUGUUGCUGCGCUGGAGGCGAAGAGCGCUGCGUCGGAGAGCGAGCUGGCCGCUGCGCGCGACGCGAUGCGUGCUGCCGAGGAGCGGCUGGCGGACGCGGACGCCGAGCAUGCCCGCGUGGUUGCUGCGCUGGAGGCGAAGGCGUGUGCUGCCGAGCGUGAGGCCGCUGCUGCUCGCGCAAAGCAGGAGGCGGUUGUGAGGUGCACGCGCGGCAUCGUGGAUGCGGUGCGCAGCGAGUACGAGGCGCAGACUGCUGAGCUUGUGGACUCCGCGGAGCUUGUGGAGGCGCGCGACGCGCUGGGGGCGGCGGAGCAGCGCUGCGCCGCGCUGGCCGCUGCCCACGCGGAGGCUGUUGCUGCGCUGGAGGCGAAGAGCGCUACGUCGGAGAGCGAGCUGGCCGCUGCGCGCGACGCGAUGCGUGCUGCCGAGGAGCGGCUGGCGGACGCGGACGCCGAGCAUGCCCGCGUGGUUGCUGCGCUGGAGGCGAAGGCGUGUGCUGCCGAGCGUGAGGCCGCUGCUGCUCGCGCAAAGCAGGAGGCGGUUGUGAGGUGCACGCGCGGCAUCGUGGAUGCGGUGCGCAGCGAGUACGAGGCGCAGACUGCUGAGCUUGUGGACUCCGCGGAGCUUGUGGAGGCGCGCGACGCGCUGGGGCGGCGGAGCAGCGCUGCGCCGCGCUGGCCGCUGCCCACGCGGAGGCUGUUGCUGCGCUGGAGGCGAAGAGCGCUGCGUCGGAGAGCGAGCUGGCCGCUGCGCGCGACGCGAUGCGUGCUGCCGAGGAGCGGCUGGCGGACGCGGACGCCGAGCAUGCCCGCGUGGUUGCUGCGCUGGAGGCGAAGGCGUGUGCUGCCGAGCGUGAGGCCGCUGCUGCUCGCGCAAAGCAGGAGGCGGUUGUGAGGUGCACGCGCGGCAUCGUGGAUGCGGUGCGCAGCGAGUACGAGGCGCAGACUGCUGAGCUUGUGGACUCCGCGGAGCUUGUGGAGGCGCGCGACGCGCUGGGGGCGGCGGAGCAGCGCUGCGCCGCGCUGGCCGCUGCCCACGCGGAGGCUGUUGCUGCGCUGGAGGCGAAGAGCGCUGCGUCGGAGAGCGAGCUGGCCGCUGCGCGCGACGCGAUGCGUGCUGCCGAGGAGCGGCUGGCGGACGCGGACGCCGAGCAUGCCCGCGUGGUUGCUGCGCUGGAGGCGAAGGCGUGUGCUGCCGAGCGUGAGGCCGCUGCUGCUCGCGCAAAGCAGGAGGCGGUUGUGAGGUGCACGCGCGGCAUCGUGGAUGCGGUGCGCAGCGAGUACGAGGCGCAGACUGCUGAGCUUGUGGACUCCGCGGAGCUUGUGGAGGCGCGCGACGCGCUGGGGGCGGCGGAGCAGCGCUGCGCCGCGCUGGCCGCUGCCCACGCGGAGGCUGUUGCUGCGCUGGAGGCGAAGAGCGCUGCGUCGGAGAGCGAGCUGGCCGCUGCGCGCGACGCGAUGCGUGCUGCCGAGGAGCGGCUGGCGGACGCGGACGCCGAGCAUGCCCGCGUGGUUGCUGCGCUGGAGGCGAAGAGCGCUGCGUCGGAGAGCGAGCUGGCCGCUGCGCGCAACGCGAUGCGUGCUGCCGAGGAGCGGCUGGCGGACGCGGACGCCGAGCAUGCCCGCGUGGUUGCUGCGCUGGAGGCGAAGAGCGCUGCGUCGGAGAGCGAGCUGGCCGCUGCGCGCAACGCGAUGCGUGCUGCCGAGGAGCGGCUGGCGGACGCGGACGCCGAGCAUGCCCGCGUGGUUGCUGCGCUGGAGGCGAAGAGCGCUGCGUCGGAGAGCGAGCUGGCCGCUGCGCGCAACGCGAUGCGUGCUGCCGAGGAGCGGCUGGCGGACGCGGACGCCGAGCAUGCCCGCGUGGUUGCUGCGCUGGAGGCGAAGAGCGCUGCGUCGGAGAGCGAGCUGGCCGCUGCGCGCAACGCGAUGCGUGCUGCCGAGGAGCGGCUGGCGGACGCGGACGCCGAGCAUGCCCGCGUGGUUGCUGCGCUGGAGGCGAAGAGCGCUGCGUCGGAGAGCGAGCUGGCCGCUGCGCGCAACGCGAUGCGUGCUGCCGAGGAGCGGCUGGCGGACGCGGACGCCGAGCAUGCCCGCGUGGUUGCUGCGCUGGAGGCGAAGAGCGCUGCGUCGGAGAGCGAGCUGGCCGCUGCGCGCGACGCGAUGCGUGCUGCCGAGGAGCGGCUGGCGGACGCGGACGCCGAGCAUGCCCGCGUGGUUGCUGCGCUGGAGGCGAAGAGCGCUGCGUCGGAGAGCGAGCUGGCCGCUGCGCGCAACGCGAUGCGUGCUGCCGAGGAGCGGCUGGCGGACGCGGACGCCGAGCAUGCCCGCGUGGUUGCUGCGCUGGAGGCGAAGAGCGCUGCGUCGGAGAGCGAGCUGGCCGCUGCGCGCAACGCGAUGCGUGCUGCCGAGGAGCGGCUGGCGGACGCGGACGCCGAGCAUGCCCGCGUGGUUGCUGCGCUGGAGGCGAAGGCGUGUGCUGCCGAGCGUGAGGCCGCUGCUGCUGCGCGCGACGCGAUGCGUGCUGCCGAGGAGCGGCUGGCGGACGCGGACGCCGAGCAUGCCCGCGUGGUUGCUGCGCUGGAGGCGAAGAGCGCUGCGUCGGAGAGCGAGCUGGCCGCUGCGCGCAACGCGAUGCGUGCUGCCGAGGAGCGGCUGGCGGACGCGGACGCCGAGCAUGCCCGCGUGGUUGCUGCGCUGGAGGCGAAGAGCGCUGCGUCGGAGAGCGAGCUGGCCGCUGCGCGCAACGCGAUGCGUGCUGCCGAGGAGCGGCUGGCGGACGCGGACGCCGAGCAUGCCCGCGUGGUUGCUGCGCUGGAGGCGAAGGCGUGUGCUGCCGAGCGUGAGGCCGCUGCUGCUGCGCGCGACGCGAUGCGUGCUGCCGAGGAGCGGCUGGCGGACGCGGACGCCGAGCAUGCCCGCGUGGUUGCUGCGCUGGAGGCGAAGAGCGCUGCGUCGGAGAGCGAGCUGGCCGCUGCGCGCGACGCGAUGCGUGCUGCUGAGGAGCGGCUGGCGGACGCGGACGCCGAGCAUGCCCGCGUGGUUGCUGCGCUGGAGGCGAAGAGCGCUGCGUCGGAGAGCGAGCUGGCCGCUGCGCGCAACGCGAUGCGUGCUGCCGAGGAGCGGCUGGCGGACGCGGACGCCGAGCAUGCCCGCGUGGUUGCUGCGCUGGAGGCGAAGGCGUGUGCUGCCGAGCGUGAGGCCGCUGCUGCUCGCGCAAAGCAGGAGGCGGUUGUGAGGUGCACGCGCGGCAUCGUGGAUGCGGUGCGCAGCGAGUACGAGGCGCAGACUGCUGAGCUUGUGGACUCCGCGGAGCUUGUGGAGGCGCGCGACGCGCUGGGGGCGGCGGAGCAGCGCUGCGCCGCGCUGGCCGCUGCCCACGCGGAGGCUGUUGCUGCGCUGGAGGCGAAGAGCGCUGCGUCGGAGAGCGAGCUGGCCGCUGCGCGCGACGCGAUGCGUGCUGCCGAGGAGCGGCUGGCGGACGCGGACGCCGAGCAUGCCCGCGUGGUUGCUGCGCUGGAGGCGAAGAGCGCUGCGUCGGAGAGCGAGCUGGCCGCUGCGCGCGACGCGAUGCGUGCUGCCGAGGAGCGGCUGGCGGACGCGGACGCCGAGCAUGCCCGCGUGGUUGCUGCGCUGGAGGCGAAGAGCGCUGCGUCGGAGAGCGAGCUGGCUGCUGCGCGCGACGGGAUGCGUGCUGCUGAGGAGCGGCUGGCGGACGCGGACGCCGAGCAUGCCCGCGUGGUUGCUGCGCUGGAGGCGAAGGCGUGUGCUGCCGAGCGUGAGGCCGCUGCUGCUCGCGCAAAGCAGGAGGCGGUUGUGAGGUGCACGCGCGGCAUCGUGGAUGCGGUGCGCAGCGAGUACGAGGCGCAGACUGCUGAGCUUGUGGACUCCGCGGAGCUUGUGGAGGCGCGCGACGCGCUUGGGGCGGCGGAGCAGCGCUGCGCCGCGCUGGCCGCUGCCCACGCGAAGGCUGUUGCUGCGCUGGAGGCGAAGAGCGCUGCGUCGGAGAGCGAGCUGGCCGCUGCGCGCGACGCGAUGCGUGCUGCUGAGGAGCGGCUGGCGGACGCGGACGCCGAGCAUGCCCGCGUGGUUGCUGCGCUGGAGGCGAAGGCGUGUGCUGCCGAGCGUGAGGCCGCUGCUGCUCGCGCAAAGCAGGAGGCGGUUGUGAGGUGCACGCGCGGCAUCGUGGAUGCGGUGCGCAGCGAGUACGAGGCGCAGACUGCUGAGCUUGUGGACUCCGCGGAGCUUGUGGAGGCGCGCGACGCGCUUGGGGCGGCGGAGCAGCGCUGCGCCGCGCUGGCCGCUGCCCACGCGAAGGCUGUUGCUGCGCUGGAGGCGAAGAGCGCUGCGUCGGAGAGCGAGCUGGCCGCUGCGCGCGACGCGAUGCGUGCUGCCGAGGAGCGGCUGGCGGACGCGGACGCCGAGCAUGCCCGCGUGGUUGCUGCGCUGGAGGCGAAGAGCGCUGCGUCGGAGAGCGAGCUGGCCGCUGCGCGCGACGCGAUGCGUGCUGCUGAGGAGCGGCUGGCGGACGCGGACGCCGAGCAUGCCCGCGUGGUUGCUGCGCUGGAGGCGAAGAGCGCUGCGUCGGAGAGCGAGCUGGCCGCUGCGCGCGACGCGAUGCGUGCUGCCGAGGAGCGGCUGGCGGACGCGGACGCCGAGCAUGCCCGCGUGGUUGCUGCGCUGGAGGCGAAGAGCGCUGCGUCGGAGAGCGAGCUGGCGGCUGCUCGGGUGGCGUUAUGCUGUGCUGCUGAAGGGUGCUUUGAGAAGGCUUCUCCCCUGCUUCGUGUGUGCGAUUCUCGUGAGUGUUUCGUUGCUGGAGUGCAGUAUGGUGUUGAAGUUCUUCGGGAUGGGUUUGAAUCGCGUGCGAAUGAAGUGGUGGGCUGUACCCGCCGAAUCGUUAGUGCGAGAGCUGCUGUGGAGGCUGCUCGGCGGAGGUGUGCGGAGGUGAGCUCAAAGUUGACGCAAGCGAAGGCAGGUGGUGACGAUGAAAAGGAGUUCUGUAGUGGAGAGCUUGUUGCGGCCCAUGCUGAGUUGAGAGCCGUGAUGGAGCGCUACCUCGAGGCCGAGGCGGCAGUCGAUGAAGAGGAGGCCGAAGAACACCCGUAUGAGGCGUUAUUCUCUGCAUUGAGUCGAGAGCUGAAAGAUGCCCGCGAAAAGCUGAAAACAAUGCAGCAGCUCAACCGAAUGCUACGGGAGAAGUUCCGAUCUGAUCUGCAAGCAUCGGAGAGAAGCUCAUCGUAUUCAAGUUGACUUCUGUUGUGUUGUAUUUUUUAACCGGUUGAAUGAGUGAAGGGCACCGUAUUCAAGGAUUCUUUGACUCAGUUGUGUCUGCGUGGUAGUGUUCACGCGGGCGGACAGCAGACCACCGGAAAGUAACCGCAAAUAUUAUAGCGGACUCGCAAAUGCUCGUAAAAGGCCGUUACCUUUUUUUUUUCUCGAACUUACCGCGGCAGAGGCUUUAGAAAGGCGCGCAUAUCUGCACAAGAGAGGUUUCCUUUAUUUUUGUUCCAUAGCGAGUACAUCGUAUAUUUUUGUGCGGUGCUCAGUAUACAGAUGAGAAUUUUUCUUUUUUUUUCGGUUGGGGUUUUGCGCUUGUUCUGCAUCUCGUCGAACUUCCUCGCAGUGGCGCACGCGCACACCGACACUGUCACGGAAACACAGUGCUCUCAGCUGGUGCGGGUUUCGUUGCGUGUGGUGGCGGUUAAGCGCGCCAUUUUUCUGUUUCUUAUUUUCAAGUGUAUUUCUUAUAUCUCGCUUAUGUUUGGUGAAAGCAGAAGGAGGCGCUUGCGCUCUACCCACGAUGUUUAAUGACGCGUUUCUUGCAUCGCCGUGAUUACUUCGCAAAAGGGCAGAGGCGCGUUUUUAUUGUCCCCGCAAAAAAAUGUCGUUCCCACGCUGCCUCGCCGUCUCCCAACAAAAGCAUGAACCCACGGCGAAAAAACGAAGAGGAGGCGCAUGAGCAGUCGAUCAAGCCUAGCAGACCACUCCUUUCACAAGUGGACAGUUGUGUGCUGUUGUGGUGGAGACGCAUCCGAAGCGGAAGAAAUAGAAACAAGGCGUUUGCCCACUUGCCUUCCUGCAUCACGCUUUUUGUUGUUCUCUACGGCUGUCGUCAGCGCGGAGUGCACGUUGACAUGAUCAUCCGCCGCUCCUACCCUUGCCGGCUUUCGUUGCUGUCUACUUGUUACUUUGCCCGGAAGACACUUAGCAAAG